rnacentral:rRNA from 1 species
GACGAACCACACAAACGUUAUUCGGAAUUACUGGGCUUAAAGGGUGCGUAGGCGGCGCGGAAAGUUGGGUGUGAAAUCCCUCGGCUCAACCGAGGAACUGCGCCCAAAACUACCGUGCUCGAGGGAGAUAGAGGUGAGCGGAACUUAGGGUGGAGCGGUGAAAUGCGUUGAUAUCGUUAGGAACUCCGGUGGCGAAGGCGGCACGCUGGACCUCUUCUGACGCUGAGGCACGAAAGCCAGGGGAGCGAACGGG